GUGCCGAGCCGUGACUGGCGCUUGGGUGGAGUACCACCGGGGAGCGGCUCGGCCGAGACCGGCCGCUGCCGUGCGCCUGGGCGAUUCCG
rnacentral:ncRNA from 2 species